GCAUAAAAAAAUGAAAUAUCAUCUUAAAGAAAAUUUUUGUGUUUCGUAACUGUGGGGAAAAAAAUGCAACAAUUUAUUUUAACCUUACAUUUCAUUAACCUUAUAUUUAAAAGGAAAAAAAAGUAAAACUUGCUUAAAAAAAUAAUUGUGGACUAGUAAAAUUUAUAUGUGGCAUUCUUGGUUAAGUAGCUUGGUAUAAUGAUGAAUGUGUCCAAUAAAUACACAUAGAGACAGUGAGACAGACAUAACGAGAACUCUAUAUCUAUCUAUAAAUCUGUGUGUGUGUGUGUGUAUAUAUAUACAUAUAUACACAGUCAUUUACAAAGCAUUAACUGUAUAUAGAUAAACACACACACACACAUAUAAAGAGCAUUAACAAAAUUUAGCAAACACAUUUUGUACUUCCUCUUUUUCCCUUGAAUAAUCCUAUAAUAUUGUACAGUUUUGAGGACUAUAUUGGUUCUCAAUAAAUAAAAAAUAUUUCUUGCACAUACAAUGAAAUAGUGUGGGCUUGCACAGCCCAGCGUACAGAUGUGAACAGAUGGAAAAAUGCAGGUAGUGCACUGUACUGGUUGUCCUUGAUCAUCAUCCAUGCAGCUCUGUUUGUGAAGAUCAGGAUCUACUCCAGCCACAGAUGUCCAGGCACAAUUCUUGGCUUGUGAUCUCUAUUGGAACAAGAAUUGCGUUUGGACAAUCAGAGGCGAGAGCUCCG